rnacentral:rRNA from 1 species
UACGGAGGGGGCUAGCGUUGUUCGGAAUUACUGGGCGUAAAGGGCGCGUAGGCGGCCUGCUAAGUCGGAUGUGAAAUCCCUCGGCUCAACCGAGGAACUGCAUCCGAUACUGGCGGGCUUGAAUCCGGGAGAGGGAUGUGGAAUUCCAGGUGUAGCGGUGAAAUGCGUAGAUAUCUGGAGGAACACCGGUGGCGAAGGCGGCAUCCUGGACCGGUAUUGACGCUGAGGCGCGAAAGCUAGGGGAGCAAACGGGG